rnacentral:rRNA from 1 species
GAUGAACGCUGGCGGCGUGCCUAACACAUGCAAGUCGAGCGAUUUACUUCGGUAAAGAGCGGCGGACGGGUGAGUAACGCGUGGGUGAUCUGCCCAUCAGACGGGGACAACGAUUGGAAACGAUCGCUAAUACCGGAUAGGACGAAAGUUUAAAGGUGCUCCUGGCACCGCUGAUGAAUGAGCCUGCGGCGCAUUAGCUAGUUGGUAGGGUAAGGGCCUACCAAGGCGACGAUGCGUAGCCGACCUGAGAGGGUGAACGGCCACACUGGGACUGAGACACGGCCCAGACUCCUACGGGAGGCAGCAGUAGGGAAUCUUCGGCAAUGGGCGAAAGCCUGACCGAGCAACGCCGCGUGAAUGAUGAAGGCCUUCGGGUUGUAAAAUUCUGUUAUAAGGGAAGAACGACUUUAGUAGGAAAUGGCUAGAGUGUGACGGUACCUUAUGAGAAAGCCACGGCUAACUACGUGCCAGCAGCCGCGGUAAUACGUAGGUGGCGAGCGUUAUCCGGAAUUAUUGGGCGUAAAGAGCGCGCAGGUGGUUGAUUAAGUCUGAUGUGAAAGCCCACGGCUUAACCGUGGAGGGUCAUUGGAAACUGGUCAACUUGAGUGCAGAAGAGGGAAGUGGAAUUCCAUGUGUAGCGGUGAAAUGCGUAGAGAUAUGGAGGAACACCAGUGGCGAAGGCGGCUUCCUGGUCUGUAACUGACACUGAGGCGCGAAAGCGUGGGGAGCAAACAGGAUUAGAUACCCUGGUAGUCC